AGUGAACGCUGGCGGCAGGCCUAACACAUGCAAGUCGAACGGCAGCACAAGAGAGCUUGCUCUCUGGGUGGCGAGUGGCGGACGGGUGAGGAAUGCAUCGGAAUCUGCCCAUUUGUGGGGGAUAACCUCGGGAAACCGGGACUAAUACCGCAUACGACCUACGGGUGAAAGCAGGGGAUCUUCGGACCUUGCGCAGAUGGAUGAGCCGAUGCCGGAUUAGCUAGUUGGAGGGGUAAAGGCCCACCAAGGCGACGAUCCGUAGCUGGUCGGAGAGGAUGAUCAGCCACACUGGGACUGGGACACGGCCCAGACUCCUACGGGAGGCAGCAGUGGGGAAUAUUGGACAAUGGGCGCAAGCCUGAUCCAGCCAUGCCGCGUGUGUGAAGAAGGCCUUCGGGUUGUAAAGCACUUUUGUUGGGAAAGAAAAGCAGCCGGUUAAUACCCGGUUGUCAUGACGGUACCCAAAGAAUAAGCACCGGCUAACUUCGUG
rnacentral:rRNA from 1 species